rnacentral:rRNA from 1 species
AAGGGCACCACAAGAACGCGUGGAGCAUGUGGCUUAAUUUGACUCAACGCGGGAAAUCUUACCGGGUCCGGACACACUGAGGAUUGACAGGCAAUAUUAAUAUAUACUUUUUUUCAUAUUCCUUCGCGGGUUCAUGUUCAAAUGUCAUAUAUUAUGUUAAAUAUGCUAGUCCUUUCAUGAUUAUGUGAUAGGUGGUGCAUGGCCGUUCUUAGUUCGUGGAGUGAUCUGUCUGCUUAAUUGCGUUUCACUAAGGGCCUAUACAAUUACGUAUGUUGUUAUUACACUUUGACCCCUCCUUCACGGGUGCGUGUGUCUUUGACUGUUUCAACUCAUACAAUUAGGUCCUGAAAGCAACGAACGUGACCGCAACCUCUUGUUGCUUUCGUAUACCCUUAUAACACAGUUUUUUAUGCUCUUACGUAUUAAAUUUCUGUGCAAGAAAGCUUUUUAAACUAGAGGGACCGCUGUUAUCUUCUUAAACCAGAGGAAGGUUGCGGCAAUAACAGGUCUGUGAUGCCCUUAGAUGUUCCGGGCUGCACACGUGCUACAAUGAUUAUUGCAGUGAGCAUCUCAUUUUUUAUAUACACCGCAUGCGCGAGUCCAUUUAUUCAGUUUCUCUACCUUCACGGGUAUCGCUGUUUUAAAUGUGUAUCUCUGCGCGCGGUAAAGCCUGCUUCGAGAGUAAGUGGGUAAUCAAUUAGAAGUAAUGAUUUCCUUUUUUUUCUGCACACAUAUAUACGGCAGUUAUACCCGGGUAACCUUGUUGUUACUUUCUGUGUGUAUAGCUGUACCCUUUUUCCGUAUGUGCGAUUGUCAAUUCAUGGUGGGGACAGACCAUUGUUAAUUGUUGGUCUCGGUCUUAACUAGGAAUGCCUUGUACGGGUCUUUGGUUCAACAAACCACCCGGAAUACGUCCCUGCCCUUUGUACACACCGCCCGUC